rnacentral:lncRNA from 1 species
AAUAUGGUGGAUCCCUUGAGAACCGUUGUCGGAUUGUUUUGGAAGUUGUUGAAGCUGUUGCAAAUGAGAUAGGUGCAGAUAGAACUGGAAUUAGAUUAUCACCUUUUUCAGAAUAUGCAGAAUGUGUAGACUCUAAUCCCAGAGAAUUGGGACUUUAUAUGGCUAAUGCCCUCAAUAAAUAUGGUAUUCUUUACUGUCAUGUGGUGGAACCAAGAAUGAAAACUGUUAAUGAAAGAAUUGAAUGCUCUCACAGCCUUGUGCCGAUGAGAAAGGCCUUCAAAGGCACUUUCCUGGCUGCAGGAGGUUACGACCGAAAUGAUGGGAUCAAUGCCAUAGCUGAAAAUAGGACAGACCUUGUUGUAUAUGGUCGUUUGUUCUUAGCUAAUCCAGAUUUGCCGAAGAGAUUUGCACUUAAUGCUCCUCUAAACAAGUAUAACAGGGCGACAUUCUACACUUCAGAUCCAGUUAUAGGUUAUACUGACUACCCUUUUCUUGAAUGAAGAAACCAGUGUUGUAGCAUCAAAGUGUGGAAUCUCUUCACUAAAUAAGUUCAAUACCCCUUUGCUAAUUGCUUUCUGCUAUUGAUUCCUCUCAUGCUUAGUCUGAUAAUGCUUUGGAGUUUGGAGCCAGCUCACACAUUUUGUAAAUGGUCAGGAAAACAUAGUAUGUAAGAGUAAAACUACUUUUGUAUGUGAUAAAGUCACUGUAUGCCAAAAAGAAGUUUACCUGAUUUUACAAAAUUACAAUACGCGUUUUGUGCUAACAAGAGGAUUAUUUCCAUUGUCUCGUCUUUGUUUCUUCAAUCAAUCCAUGUGUCUUUUAGAUGUUGAUGGUAUAAAUAACUAAAAUGAUGGAAACAUGAUCAAAAUUAUUUUCUGUUUAUUGGGUUAAAAUACCAAUGGUAAGCCGAAAAUAUGCAACCGAUAUAUUCCAAAUGCAAAGCUUUGCACAGCAGAAUUUUGAUCCAAGUCUAAAAUUGUAGCUUUCAUGCAUAUAGGAAGACAUAAAAUUCAUACAAAUACUUCAACUGCCUGGUCCUCGUUUCUAUAUCCCUACUUGCAAAGUUUUCAACUGUUGUAUCCCUAAUGCAGGAACUUGAAACACUCUAGGCAAGACUUCCACAUUGUAGCAAACCAAAGUUUGAACCUUAGCUGUGAUGUCUGCCACACUUCGAACCACUUUUGGCCUUGGGCCCUCUUUUGUACCAAAAAGAAAAAAGUAUUGACACACAAAUCCUUCCAAAUGAAUGGAAGAGAACGACUCCCUCUCAAAGCAAGCCGCCACUUUCCAUUUAAGUGUCAAUAUAAAAUUAGUAAAAUUAUUACAAAUCUUCAACUUUAUAUAGUUACUUUUCCAUCAGAAACAAAUCAUUCUUAUGGAAGUGAUUCAACAUUUCCUUUGUCACAAGGUAGGUGUAAUGUAUCUUGUAGUCGUUCGUGUCAUUGCCAACUAGUAGUAUGAUGUUAUAUGUACAAUAUGUUUCACCCUUUGAGUAGAAUCAUUAUAAUUUAAAGGGAAAAAAAUGGUUGAAAACCCCUAUUAAAUCUGAUAGCGUAACGACCGGAUCCAACCACCACGAUUUGUACAGUUCAAUUAUAUAUAUUAACGUAUUUCAAUAGAUAUGAUAAAAAUGAAAAGGGAAUAAGUUGAGAGAAGAAAAAAUGUAAGAAGGAAACAUAAAAUGAUGUGAGAGAUUAAGAAAUGAGGGUAUGUAUUUAUAGUAUUUAUAGAAUUUUUACUAAGGUGCUGUUUGACCCGACUUUUUUUCAACUUUUCUGCAUUUUUAAGGAGAAGUUAUGUCAAACACAAUAUCAAUUAAAUUUAUGUUAUUAUUUCUCCUAUUCAAAUAUUUAACAAGUCAUGAUACAAAUUUGUAUUCAUGUUACAUAAAAUAAAAGUCAUUGAAUAAAUAUAAUAUUUGUAAAAAAAAAAUCUUUUAUAUUUUAAAUAUUUUUACCCUUCAGAACAUAUUUUAAACAUUUUUUUAUUUAUAAUGUUAAUUCAUAAUAAAUUCAAAGUUUUAUCCUCGUGGGCUUAGCUCAGUUGAUAGGGAUAAUGCAUAAAUAUAUGCAAAGUUCGGGGUUCGAACCCGAACACCAUAAAAUAAAAAUAAUAAAUUCAAAGUUUGUACAAUAUUUUGUCAAACAAUUUUUAACUUAAAAAUAACUCUAAAACUAAAAAAAAAAAAAAAUACAUAGAAAAAACCAAACAACUUUAGCUUAGAAAACUACAUCUCAAGUCCCGCUUGUAGGGAUGGCAAUGGGUACCCAAUGGGGGGUACUACAGUGUCCGUCCUCAUACUCGCAUUUAUAAAAAAUACCCGUGCCCGUACCCUCGUGGGCAACAACUUUAGUCCCCUUCCCCAUAUCCUAUGGGUACCUAAUUGCCCAUACCCGCACCCAUUACACGCACUUUAACUAUGAAAAAACAAAAAAAAACAUCACAAAUGAAAUAAAACUACGAUCCCAAUUUUUUAAAAUUAACUCAUAAAAUAAUAUGAAUCGUGGUAUUUAGUCAAAUAGAAAACAUUCAAAAUAUCCCUAAAAAAUUAUACACCAACAGGCAUGAUAGAGUUGUUAUUGUAUUAAGCAGUUGUUUGGUUUAAGUUUAGGUUUAAGCUUAAAUAGCUAAAUUAAUUAAUUAAUUAAUUAUACAUAAAAAAUAAUAAAUAAAUAAUUUAUGAUAUUAUAUAAACAUGUAUAUGCGAGGUUGUGGGUCUGGGCAAUAUAGUACUCUUAUUCGUGUCCAUACCCAUUUAAUUUUGUAGGUAUUACCCGUACCCGUGCUCAGACUCAUAAAAGUGGGGUUUUAUCCUACCCAUUGUGGGUAUUUUUUGCGGGUACCUAUUGAAUCUGGGUCCAAUUGCCAUCCCUACCCGCUUGUGACAUAUAAUAAGGGAAAAAAAAAAUCAGCUUUUUAGUAUGUCGCAAGGCAGAGGGGUUGCAUGUCGCAAGUUGAAAAAAAGUAUGGUAGAGUUGGAAGAAAAAAAAUAAACUAGGGUAGUGUUAUUUUUUAGGAAACAACUAGGGUAGUUUUAGAAUUUUGUUUUUAAAGCAGGGUAGAAAUUUUUUUCCUUCAGAUUUUGGUUGUGCAAUUUGUACUGUACUGUGCAUGGCAACCAACUAUGUUUUCAAUGAUAAGAAGAUCUAUGGUGCUGCUGCUGUUAUUCCCAAAUACAGCAAGUUUGCUCCUCUUAGUCGUCGUUUUGUUUCAACCCUGAUGCCGCGGCUGUCCCCUCUUUUCCUCGUGACUAUUGCGGUAAUUACUACAAUGCUAUCAAUACUUUCAAUAUACUGCUUGAUCGAGGCUACUCUUCCAUAUAGUAAUUACAAUUAUGUUCUUUCUACCCUUGCUAGAAUGGGUUCUUCCCGAGUUGUUGUCAUCCCAAUUCAAUAAUCGUCUUGUUGUCCCAAACAUUCAUCAUACUUUGACUAUUCUCAUCCAAUCCAUCCCACUCUAGAGCAGGUAACAUGUCUUCAGCUAUCGACUCAUUAUCCUACUACUCAAACUUUGAACGAUCUUUUAGAUUUUUUUUUGUCGUAGACACCAGAUUCACCAAGCAAUACAUUUUCUUAAUGAUAUCAUACUUACAAACAGUAAUCUUGUAUUGAACUGCCGUAGUUAUAGUAUUCUAAUGAGGUACCCAUCUUUCUUGUUUUAUGUUUGUUUGAUUAUAUAAAGAAUUGUAGUUUGCAAUGGAAUUUGAUACGUUUCUCCUCUAUUUUGGUGAGAGAUAAUUAGUCUUUUAAACCGAUCAUUCAAGACUGAAAUGAGAUGUUCAGGAUUUUCUCAAUUUCUUUAGGAUAACAGUUUCAAUUUCAUCCAUAGAAACACAAAUUAACAUUUCUAUAGGCUCCUAACUUGCGGUCUGCCCUAUUUCCACCCCUAGUUUUAAUGCAUAUAUACAAUUUAGCAAAUCAGUAUACUACUUUUAUAAUGGACAAAUAUAUUUUAUCAAUUCAACAUGCCAAGUCCGUGUUGACCUCAAUUCUCUAUUUCCUACUUUAAUACUUAAAGUUUAGAUGUUCAAUAAACAGCUUACAGGGCUGUGGGAACUAACCCUUAUCAUACAAAAUCUGUCUCCAAGUCUGGAGUAGUUUCUUAGUUAAUGUUUCAUUCAUGUUUUUAUUAAUUUUGAAACUUUAUUGUUUCUUAUUUUAUGCUUUGCACAUAAAUAUUAUAGGUGGAUAUGAAAUUUCCUUGGAAGAGAAUAAGACAAUAUAGUUAGUUCUAAAAUUGUUUUGGUUCAUCGCAUUGAAGGUAUGAAGUUUUUUUUUUUUUUUUUUUUUUUUUUUGAAUCUGAAUCAUGUUCUGAAAUGUUCCCUUAUUACUAAUAACUAAUAGAGGAUAAAUUAUAGAUCCAGAGUUGGAUUGACUAACCCUGUCUUGGUUAUAAAAAACCAACAGUAUCUACUGCACUUUCCUUCAAUAACAGGUUAGAAGUUUUUCAGAUUGAAAUUUUUGCCAUUAGAGCUGCAGUAGCAUUGUUAUUAAAAUCUUGAUCAGAAUUCUGAAAUACUACGAUUUGUUGUCUUGCCGAUCUUAAUCCUAAGUAGAAUUGUAAACUGCAAUAUCCGUUCGAAAUUGUUUAUGUUUAAGCGAUUUUGUGUUGCCUUAUAAUUGGCGCGUCCGUGAUGUGACGUAGACUUGUAGUUUUUAGAAUUUGAGUAUUUUGUAUACUUGGUUGUUUUGUAUUUAAGAUUUAAGAUUUGAGAUUUUAAGUCGAUUAUGUUUAAGCUUUGCCACUAGUUUGUUUUAUGUUUAAGAUUUGAGAUUUGGUUGUUUAAGUUUGCUUUAAGUUUUCAAACUCUUUAAGUUUAUUUUUUUGUUUUGAGAGAAACUCUUAAGUUGUUUAUGCACUUUACGGUAUAUAUUUAAUAUUAUUCGAGUAGAAUCUUUUGAUUUUGGUUGCGAUCUUGCUAUCGCCUUUCAAUUCUACAAAAUCAAUUGAGUAGAAUCCAUUAAUUUUGGUUGCGAUUUUAGGUUUUGCGAUUUAACUAUCCUCUUUGAUCAGAAGCAAAAUCUUAAUUUUAACGUUAGUGUGUAUAUGGAAGCCUUUCAACGUAUGUGACAUUGGGAGGGUCCUCAACAAAUCAGAAGCUUCAUGUAGAUGGUAAUGGAAUGUGGUUUGAAGGCAGAUGAAAAAACAUCUACUAUUACUUCUUCUUUUUUUGAAAGAAAACAUCUACUAUUACUAUUACUAUAUAUAUGCCUAAUUAGAAAAUAUAGUAAUGCAAUGGGAUUUUAGUUUACGUGAAUCUUAUGAUUUUUCUUAACAAAUGUCUAACUACUUUUACUAUAUGCCUAAUUAAAACGCCAAGCAACAACGUUUUGCCUUAAUUUACCAUUAUCUGCAAUCGUCUCUUCUUUUUUUUUAAUAUAAUUAGCUCCAAUAUCUCGCAACCACCUUAAGCACACCAAUCAAGUUCCACCAAAUGCACAUCACCAAUUAUUACUCUAGCAUACAAGUUUGGUCAUGGAAAAACCAAUCCAUCUAUGGCCAACAAUACUCAAGCAACAUAAAUACAUUAUAUAGCAGAUUCCACAAGAGUCGUCGUCGCUAAUCAUUUGUUGUAUAUUUUAGAUCACCGUCUCCCUCUAUUUCAGGUUGUUGUUGUUGAAAGACUACCAUAAAAAAUUCAUCAAGGUGUUUCUAAUAUCUAAUUUCUAAUAUCCUUAAUAAAUAAAUCAACUUUCAUAUGUUUAGUCCGCACUAAAGUAUAUAAAAUAAAACAUUGUUCUGUAUUGAUGAAAUAUAAACUAGUUCCAAAGGUUGCUAUAAUUAGUAAUUCAAUGAUCAGCACCAAUAAAUAUAUUUCGUAAAGAAGACUUCGUGAUCACAUUAGUCAAAUUGGACUGCGGUGAGAUACUAACUAUCUCCAAGGUGAGAGAAAGUACAACGUAAUACCUCACGUCACCAACAAGUAUAAUAAAUUAAUAAUAAACCGCCAUCACAUAAGUUUCACUAUAAAAUACUUCAACUACAACUACAACUUCACAUUCAAUUUCAAAUUGUGCAUCACUUAAUAACGUAAUCAAGUGAAAAUGGCUGGUAUUGUUGAAUCUGAUCCAAUUCCUCUUCUUACUCCUUACAAAAUGAGAAAAUUCAAUCUAGCUCAUAGGUAUUUUUAUCUUUUCAUAUAAUCUCAUAUUCAAUUUCAAGUGCUCAAAUGUUCACAUAACAAUUUACUCAUUUCAUUUCAGAGUUGUUUUGGCACCACUCACAAGACAAAGAUCUUAUGGCAACGUUCCACAACCUCAUGCUAUCCUCUAUUACUCACAGAGAGCCACCGGCUCUAACGGAGGUCUUCUCAUAACCGAAGCUACCGGUGUCUCUGACACCGCUCAAGGGUAUCCAGAUACGCCAGGUAUUUGGACUAAAGAGCAUGUCGAGGCAUGGAAACCCAUUGUGGAUGCUGUUCAUGCUAAAGGUGCUACCAUCUUUUGUCAGAUUUGGCAUGUUGGAAGAGUUUCUGAUUCAGGUAUGUUCUAUGAUACAUGCAAAGAAACUUCUAUCUCUUCAAAUUAUCCAAGUUUCUUUGCAUGAAGAUACAUGCCUAAAAUAAUUUUGAAAUGACAUAAAACAUAAAUCAGUGAUUUUGUUGAUUUGAACUUCUUUGCUUUUGAUUGACCUGCAAUGCAUCUAUCUGUUCUUUUCCCCCAACUACAGUUUUUCAGCCAAAUGGACAGGCACCAAUAUCAUCUACAGACAAGUCACUCACACCACAAAUUCGAAGUAAUGGUUUUAAUAUUGCAAAAUUCACACCGCCUAGACGGCUAAGGACAGAUGAAAUUCCUAACAUUGUCAAUGACUUCAGACUUGCUGCAAGAAAUGCUAUUGAAGCUGGUAACUUUACUAAUCUUUACAAAUGUCCAAAAUAAAUAAACAUAUAAAAUCUUCAAUGUAUCAUAGUACAAUGUUUGUGAUACAUAGAUCUUUUUGCUGCUUUAGAGAGCACUGGGACAUUUUACAAUUAUAUAACAUACUUACUAGGGCGCAAAUUGCAGGAUUUGAUGGGGUUGAAAUCCAUGGAGCUCAUGGCUACCUCCUUGAGCAAUUCAUGAAAGAUAAAGUGAAUGACAGGACAGAUGAAUAUGGUGGGUCUCUGGAGAACCGCUGUCGAUUUGCUUUGGAAGUUGUUGAAGCUGUUGCAAAUGAGAUAGGAGCAGAAAGAGUUGGAAUAAGAUUAUCACCUUUUGCGGAGUAUGCAGAAUGUGGAGACUCCAACCCCAAUGAAUUGGGACUUUAUAUGGUCAAUGCCCUCAAUAAAUAUGGUAUUCUUUACUGUCAUAUGGUGGAACCAAGAAUGAAAACUGUUGGUGAAAAAACUGAAUGCCCCGACAGCCUUGUGCCAAUGAGAAAGGCCUUCAAAGGCACUUUCAUGGUUGCAGGAGGUUACGACCGACAUGAUGGGAUCAAUGCCAUAGCUGAAAACAGGGCAGACCUUGUUGUAUAUGGUCGUUUGUUCUUAGCUAAUCCAGAUUUACCAAAGAGAUUUGCACUUGAUGCUCCUCUGAACAAAUAUAACAGGGAGACGUUCUACAUUUCUGAUCCAGUUCUAGGUUAUACUGACUACCCCUUUCUUGAAUGAAGAAACUGAUGCUGUAGCAUCCAAGUGUGGAAUCUCCUCACUAAAUAAGUUCAUUAUCCCUUGCAAAUUGAUUUCUGCUAUUGAAUUUGUCACUGAAAUAAGAUUUUGAGCAAUAUGUAUGUUAUUGAUUCCUCUCAGGCUUUACUCUUACUAACACUUUGGACCCAGUUCACACAUUUUGUAAAUGGUCAGGGAAUAUAGUAAGAGCAAAACUAUUGUUGUAUGUUACUGUGAUAAAGUCAAUGAAUGCCAAUAAGAAGUUUUCGAUAAAAACUAUGAACCUGAUUUUACAAAAUUACAACUUGAGUUAUGUAGUCAUAAGAGGAUUAUUUCCGUUAUCUCAUUUUUGUUACUUCAGUCAAUCCAUGUUUUUAUAGAUGUACUUAUAAGAUCUAAUUAAAUGUUUAAAUAACUAAAAUGAUGGAAACAUUAUCAAAAUUCCUUUCUGGUUAUUGGGUUAUGUAAGAGAGUAUGGACAAGAUACCAGUGGUAAGCUGAAAAUAUAAAACCGAUGAAUUCCAUACACUAAGAACUGCAAAACAGAAUUUUGAUCCAAAUUCAAAAUUGCAGCUUUUAUCAUGUGGUAAAUUAUUGGUAAAAAAACCUUUACAAAGAGUCUAAUGAAUUUCAAGACACCUAAAGCUAUGACCUCAGCAUGAAUAUCAGCUUUGAUGAAGUACAACUUGCAUGCUUUACCCAGCACCAAUAUCUCACAACCUCCUUAAGCACACCAAUAUCAAGUUCCACCAAACGCACAACACCAAUGAUUAUUAUUCUAGCAUACAAGUUUGCUCGUGGAGAAACCAAUCCAUCCGUGGACAACAAUACUCAAGGUCUCAAGCAACAUAGAUACAUUAUAUAGCAGACUCCAAAUCACAAAGUGACACCAAACUAUUAAAACCAUCAUGUCUCGACAAUGGUUGCUACAAACCAUCGCCAAAACGAAACAUAACAUUGUUUAAUAAAGAACUUCAAUGGAAUAAAUUUCCAACCACUAUACAUCUGAAAUUUCAUGAAAAAUAACCAGAUAAUGGACAGUAACAAAACUAAACUCAAUCACUAUGAAACACUAAUAUAGAUACGAACAUAUCGGACAAGACACUAUUGCUAUCAAAUUGACUCCCAUAAUAAUUUGAGAAAAUGACAUAGUUGCUUGUGACCCAAUGUGUCAGACUGUCAGUGUCGGUUUCAGACACCAACAUUCAAGAUUGGUUUCAACUUGCUGAGUCUCGGAAUCAGUUUUGUGGGCGUCAACAAGCUAACACAUGUCGGAAGUAUGUUUGUUUAGAAAUGCUGGUGCUAACCAAUCAAAAACAAUUAGAAUCAAAAGCCUCCAAACCAGACCUUACAAUUGAAUAAAUUUCCAAUCACGGUACACCUGAAAUUUCAUGAAAAAUAGCCAGACAAUGGACAGUAACCAAUCACACUAUAAAACUGAGACAAAUUCUAACAUCGGACACAACACUAAUUUUUUGCAAGAAAAUGUUGGUUGGAAAACACUGCUAAUUCUACUCACAAGAAAAACACUCACUACUAUAAACAUAUAAAAAGCAAAACCACACGCACGAGGUACUCAUUGUUCUGUUCUGUUCUGUUACAAACAGCACCGUGAAACUCUUUCUCUUUCUCUAACCUCUUUUCGUUUCACUCCAUGGAUGCAAACCUCGCUGGCUUUUCUCAUUAUCCCCGCACUUCUCUUCGUUUCAUUCAUUUCACUCUUACUAUGUUUCCUUCAUCACCGCCGUUCCAACACAACGCCACCACCGACGACUGUUACCGAAGCAUCGGUAAUUAUCGACCGACUCCCUCUCUUCCGUUUCUCCACGCUUUUCACUCUUAUUGCAUAAGCAGAUGGCUCAACACGAAUUUGUCUUGUCCUCUCCGAUUCCAACACCGACCUCUUGGCCAUUCUCCGGUCACCUCCGUUUGACAGUAUCACCGUCCAAAUAGGAAACGUGAGCCUCGUGCGGGAAACCACCACCGAUCUCGAAUCCGUUUGACGGAGUCGUCGGAAGUUCCGUUAAGUGCAACGGCGUCGUUUGGUAGCAGUCGCAGGUUUGAGGUAUUUGACAGAAAUGGUGAAGAGAUAAGCGUUUCAUUUUAUUUGAUCUUGCUUUACCAUUAAAACUGCAAUGGAGCUUUCCAUUUUCAUUUUACUGUUUGAUUUGAUUACAUGCAAUCCCAAUUAGAACUCAGAUUACUGCCACGUCAGACAAAUUGGUGCAAAGGAACUUUUGAUUUUUCAUUUUUGAAGUAUUUUGGAACCUUGUAAAUGGCUGAAUUUUGGUGGUAAUCACAUCUUUGUCUUUAUCUUUAAAUAUAAAUGCUAGAUAGUCUGCGGGUAGCCCUAGUUAACCAUAAUCCUUUUUUUUUAUUAGCGUAAAAAAUCUUUAUGGAAAAAAACUAUGUAAAAUUCGAACUCAAGACCAAGUGCCUUCUUCUCAACAUUUUGACCACUAAAAUACUAACAAUUUUCUUGAUUUAAUUUUGUUUCUAUUAAUUAAUAUCCAAUAUUAAAUCUCUUUUUCGUUUCCCACUAUCACAUUAUCCAUAACCCACUAACCACCUAUUAAUUUCUACCCACACAGUUUUUUUUCUAUUAUAAUUUCUACCCACAGAGUUAUUAUUAUCAACAUCACAACUUCCCACUAACCUUAAUGCAUGACUAAACUUUUUGACAAAUUAUCUCGUCAUUAAUCAUUAUUUCAAGAUAGCUGCUUAUAGCAUUUUUAUAAGCAAUAUAUGUUUGAUUUCAUUUUUAUUCUUUAUUUUUUUUUAUGAAUGAUAUAGUCCAUUAAAUGAAUGAUUUAGUUUUUUUAAAACAUUAUUGUAUUCCAUUAAAUGUUUUUAAUAGGCCAAAUACCUCCCGGGUCUUUUAAAUUUUAUGUUUGUCUCAGAUAGAUCCUUUAAGUUUCUAAGGUUUCGGAUGGUCAUUUAAGUUUCGAGUUUGUUUCGGAUAGGUCUUUAAGUUUAUAAGGUUUCAGAUAGGUCCUUUAAGUUUCAAGUUUGUUUCAGAUAGGUCCUUUAAGUUUCAAGUUUGUUUCAGAUAUGUUCUUUCUAUCAACCUCUCUUAAGCCAAAGUUAAAGAACCUAUCUGAAACAAACUCGAAACUUAAAGGACCUAUCUGAAACCUUAGAAACUUAAAGGACUUAUAAGAAACAAACGUAAAACUUGAAGAACUUGGGGAGGUAUUUCGCCUUUCUAAUAAUAUAGUCAAUUUGAUAACUAUACAUGAAAUUGUAAAAAACCAUUAAAAAAAAUGAAACUCUAAAAAACCCAUGCUCGCACGGAUUAAAGUCUUAGUACACUAGUAGAUGACUAUCAUUAUUUUAAGGUCAUGUUAACCGAUCUCUCUGAACACCGGUUAAGGAUACAAAAAAAAAAAAAAAAUUAUCAAAAAAGAUUUUUUUUUUAAUUUUAUGGAUCAAUUAAACAAUUUUCAAUACAAUAAUUAUUAUAUAAUUUUUUUUUUUAAGUAUCAUUAACGAUUGCAGUUAACUUUUCCCUUAUUUUAAUUAUUUGUUUCAUAUAUUGAAAAAUUGAAAGUAUUAGACUACCGAAUUGUGAAAGAUAUGUCUGCACAUUUGGAAGCAUAUGUAAUUGGAAGAGAACGAACCUAGACGGAUUAUUUGAGAGGUACAUAACAACAUAUAUAAAACCAUAGGCACUUUCCACUUUUAGUUUCUAACAUAAAAUUAGUUACAAAGCUUCAACUUCAACUUCGGUACCGAAAAAUGGCAGGUAUUGUUGGAUCUGAUUCAAUUCCUCUUCUUACUCCUUACAAAAUGGGUAAAUUCAAUCUAUCUCAUAGGUAUAUAAAUAUAUUUUCACUCAUCAUUCCAUAUUCAAUUUCAAAGUGCUUAAUUGCUCAAAUAUUCACGCACACCAUGUGUUUGUGUUAUUUACUCAUUUUCAUUUCAGAGUUGUUUUGGCACCUCUCACAAGACAGAGAUCCUACGGCAACGUUCCACAACCUCAUGCUAUCCUCUACUACUCUCAAAGAGCCUCUAAAGGUGGUCUUCUCAUAGCCGAAGCUACCGGUGUCUCUGAUACCGCUCAAGGCUAUCCAAACACGCCUGGUAUAUGGACUAAAGAGCAAGUCGAUGCAUGGAAACCCAUUGUGGAUGCUGUUCAUGACAAAGGCGGUGUAUUUUUCUGUCAAAUUUGGCAUGUUGGAAGAGUUUCUGAUACUGGUAUGUUCUAUUUCAUCAAAUUAUCACGAACCAAUAAGCAAAACUACCGCGAGUUGGCACACAAGUAUUGAUUCAUAGUUCCCUUGUGGACUGAGUGAAUCAUGUGACCAGGAGUUCGUUUUUCUUUGCAACAGUCGUAAUAUAGAUUUAACAUGACAUAAAAUAUAAAUGGGGAAUUAUGUUUAUUUGAACCUAUUACUCUGAUUAACAUUCCUUUGUCUUUAGUCAAAUUGUAAUUGUGGAAAGAAUUGGUGUAAAAUGUUGUUAACAGAAAAAUGAUAUGAUAUAUACUAGGACAGUAGGAUGCACAUAUUACCUUAAGCGAGGAAAAUUGAAUGAUCAAUUUGUAAGUAGUGAGCAGCGCAAGCUAAACUGACUUUUGGUUAAUAAAUGUGUUAUGUGUCACGUUGCCUUUGUUUUCAACCUGUUGUGAAAAUAUACUUAUGGCAUCAAUCAAUUAAACUGCUUACAUUAAAAUGGGUUUGAAUGGAGUGUGAGAUUGUUGUUAUCGAGUAUUAUUAAGGGGAAACUACAUUCUGAUUUUUAACUAUCACACAUAAAUGUUCUCAUGCUUGUGAUGUACACACUCAUUGUAUGCUAAUUUUCCAUGUUAUUCUCAACAGUUUAUCAGCCAAAUGGGCAAGCACCAAUAUCUUCUACAGACAAGCCACUAAAACCACAAAUUCGAAGUAAUGGUAUUGAUGUUGCAAAAUUCACACCACCAAGGCGGCUAAGGACAGAUGAAAUUCCAAACAUUGUCAAUGACUUCAGACUCGCUGCAAGAAAUGCUAUUGAAGCUGGUAACUUUACUAAUCUUUACAAAUGUCUCAAAAAUUAAUAAAUUAUUUAAUGUAUCAUAAUACAAUGUUUGUGAGACGUAGAGAUUUUUGUUACUGGCACUAGGACAUUUUCCAAUUAUGUAUCAUACUUAGUGGGGUACAAAUUGCAGGAUUUGAUGGGGUUGAAAUCCAUGGAGCUCAUGGCUACCUCCUUGAACAAUUCAUGAAAGAUAAAGUGAAUGACAGGACAGAUGAGUAUGGUGGAUCCCUUGAGAACCGUUGUCGGUUUGCUUUGGAAGUUGUUGAAGCUGUUGCAAAUGAGAUAGGAACAGAAAGAGUUGGAAUAAGAUUAUCACCUUUUGCAGAGUAUUCAGAAUGUGGAGACUCCAACCCUAAAGAAUUGGGACUUUAUAUGGUUAAUGCCCUCAAUAAAUACGGUAUUCUUUAUUGUCACAUGGUGGAACCAAGAAUGAUAACUGUUGGUGAAAAAACUGAAUGCCCCGACAGCCUUGUGCCAAUGAGAAAGGCCUUCAAAGGCACUUUCAUGGUUGCAGGAGGUUACGACCGACAUGAUGGGAUCAAUGCCAUAGCUGAAAACAGGGCAGACCUAGUUGUAUAUGGUCGUUUGUUCUUAGCUAAUCCAGAUUUGCCAAAGAGAUUUGCACUUGAUGCUCCUCUAAACAAGUAUAACAGGGAGACAUUUUACGUUUCUGAUCCAGUUCUAGGUUAUACUGACUACCCUUUUCUUGAAUGAAGGAACC